AACGCACCUUGCGCCCUUUGGUAUUCCGAAGGGCAUGCCUGUUUGAGUGUCAGUAAAUUCUCAACCCCUCUUACUUUAUUGUGACGAGGUGGAUUGGAUGUGGAGGUUGCUGGAUUGUUUUACUUUGCUAAGACGUUCAGCUCUUCUAAAAUGUAUUAGCAGAACCCUUACUUGGGCUUGCUAAGCGGUGAUAAUAUCUCAGCUUACAGGUUCAAUAAGUGUAGAGCUCGGGUUUGAAGGGUUGCCGUUAAACGUGCUCCCUUUGCCUUCUCAAUUCUUUGUUUUUGAGAUACCUAUGCGACUCUACGAAGGCUUCAGCUUCUAACUGUCUUGGUUAACGAGACAAUACAACUGACUAUUUGACCUCAAAUCAGGUAGGACUACCCGCUGAACUUAA
rnacentral:misc_RNA from 1 species